ensembl:snRNA
GUGUUGUAUGAAAGGAGAGAAGGUUAGCAUUCCCCUUGACAAAGAUAGAAGAGGUCCUCAGGCCUUGACAACAUACAUAUGGUUAAGGCAUUGCCACCUACUAGGUGGAAUCUAACCAUCAGUUUUU